AGAUACUAAGUCAUUAUUAUGAGAUAGUUUCUCAUUAUAAUGACUUACAGGAUUUUUUUUUUCAUCACAGUGGCAGAAAUGGGCUUCUAUAAAUACCCUUAUUGGUCAGGUGUUUAUUUUACAGCUUAGCAUCACUCACUGCUCAAUGCUCCACCAUAACUUCCGGCUGGUCUAUCGGCAUAAACAGGCCACAGGGUGCCUGCAUCCCCAACAGCUGUGCCAUAUGCAAAGAAGUGCCACACACAGCUGACAAGAAGAAAAGCAGUGCUGGGGCAGAUCUUGGCUUUUCAGCUGACAUAAGCAACUCAGAGUUAUCUGACUCAUCAGAGACAU